rnacentral:rRNA from 1 species
GACGAACGCUGGCGGCGUGCUUAACACAUGCAAGUCGAACGGUAAGGCCUUCGGGUACACGAGUGGCGAACGGGUGAGUAACACGUGGGUGAUCUGCCCCCUACUCUGGGAUAAGCCUGGGAAACUGGGUCUAAUACUGGAUAUAACCUCCUUCUGCAUGGUUGGUGGUGGAAAGUUUUUUCGGUAGGGGAUGAGCCCGCGGCCUAUCAGCUUGUUGGUGGGGUAAUGGCCUACCAAGGCGACGACGGGUAGCCGGCCUGAGAGGGCGACCGGCCACACUGGGACUGGGACACGGCCCAGACUCCUACGGGAGGCAGCAGUGGGGAAUAUUGCACAAUGGGCGAAAGCCUGAUGCAGCGACGCCGCGUGGGGGAUGACGGCCUUCGGGUUGUAAACCCCUUUCAGUCGGGACGAAGCGUGAGUGAUGGUACCGAUAGAAGAAGCACCGGCCAACUACGUGCCAGCCGCCGCCGUAACAC